UCUUCCCUCGAGCUUGGGAUAACCCUGCGAAAGCGGGGCUAAUACCGGAUAAGACCACAUGUCAUAUGCCAUGUGGUAGAAGGUGGCUUAUAUUUAUAUGAGCUAUCACUUGAGGAUGAGUCCAUGGCCUAUCAGCUUGUUGGUGAGGUAAGAGCUCACCAAGGCUAUGACGGGUAGCUGGUCUGAGAGGACGACCAGCCACACUGGGACUGAGAUACGGCCCAGACUCCUACGGGAGGCAGCAGUGGGGAAUAUUGGGCAAUGGGCGCAAGCCUGACCCAGCGACGCCGCGUGGGUGAUGAAGGCCUUCGGGUUGUAAAACCCUUUCGUGCGGAAAGAACUGUCUCGUAGCGAAUACCUACGGGAUUUGACGGUACCGCAGGAAGAAGCACCGGCUAACUCCGUGCCAGCAGCCGCGGUAAUACGGAGGGUGCAAGCGUUGUUCGGAAUUAUUGGGCGUAAAGGGCGCGUAGGCGGUAGUGAAAGUCAGAUGUGAAAUCCUCCGGCUCAACUGGAGAACUGCAUCUGAAACUUCACAACUCGAGUACAGGAGAGGGAAACGGAAUUCCCGGUGUAGAGGUGAAAUUCGUAGAUAUCGGGAGGAACACCAGUGGCGAAGGCGGUUUCCUGGCCUGAUACUGACGCUGAGGCGCGAAAGCGUGGGGAGCAAACAGGAUUAGAUACCCUGGUAGUCCACGCGGUAAACGGUGAACACUAGGUGUGGGAGGUG
rnacentral:rRNA from 1 species